rnacentral:rRNA from 1 species
UACGUAGGGGGCAAGCGUUGUCCGGAAUCAUUGGGCGUAAAGAGCGCGCAGGCGGUCAAGUAAGUCGAAUGUGAAAGCCCCCGGCUCAACUGGGGAGGGUCAUUCGAUACUGCUCGACUUGAAGGCAGGAGAGGGCAGCAGAAUUCCCGGUGUAGUGGUGAAAUUCGUAGAUAUCGGGAGGAACACCUGUGGCGAAGGCGGCCAUCUGGACGGUAACUGACGCUGAGACGCGAAAGCGUGGGUAGCAAACAGG